UGGCAUCCUCUGGGCACACCUCACCUGGCCCAGCCUGCAGGGACUGUGUGUCAUCUGUCCUAGGGGUGUGACCAUCCUGCUCCUCCUGGAGUUCUACAUCUGCUUCCUGGUGUCCUGUGUCUGUACCUGCACGUCAGCUGGUCCAGGUACCCUCUUGAUUGAAGUUGAGGAAAAAAUGCUGUUUGAAUAAACAGCCACAGGACAGCUCUUUGAUUUCACAGACGGGGUGGCUUCUGGCUCGGUCAGCUGCAGUUUCCCACUUCAGGGGCGGCAGUGGCUCUGGGGGCAGCUUCCAGCCGAUCACGGCCAUCCUGCUGUCCUCAUGCGCACUGGCCCUGCACGCCCGGCAGCUGGACGUCAGGCUGCGGCUGGAGUACGUCUCGGCCUCGCAGGCAGAGAGGAGUGGGACGACAUGGAGAGGGUGAAACUGGACAACAAGAGGGUCCUCUUCAACCUCCCGCCGGCCUAUGUCACCCAGCACUUCCUCAUGUCCAGUCCCCAGAGCACGGUGAGCGUACAGCCCGC